AAUGCCAGGAAUCUCUUUAUUACCACGAUGGAGAUAAAUGAUAUGUCUAGGAGGGCUGUUCUGACAGUGGGCACGGCCGUGCAUUCUGCGCUUUCUGAAUUGGAAGAGAUCUGUUUCUGAUUGAGGCAGUACUGUAAUAGAAGUAAUAACACAUGAGCUGCUACCAACACCACCUCCAACAUCCUUUCCUAUCUACAAAUCAACUGCAGGCAAUAUUUGCCCAUCGAGAUCUAAAAUUGUAUAUGACUUCAUUUAGCACAAAUGUUGCCUGAAGUCUCAGCCACAGAUUAAUUAAAUAUCUUUGGGAAGACAGGCCUGAGAUAUCUGGCCGUAACUUUGAUCUCAUAUAAGCUCAGAAGAAUUGGCCCAAGAAAAGAUUCAGGUAAGUUAAUUUUGCAUAGUAGAUUUAUACGUGAAUUUAUCCUCUGUGCUCUGAUGAAGUUCUCAUGGGGGUUUGUUGGACUUCCAGCUCCAGGCAUUCCAGGGAUGCAUCUGGGCAAAGUCUGCACGAUUGGUGAGGGGAAUGGCCACCAACAGUGAUGGCAUUUGGUUUCAUUGUGCUUGUCCAAAGUAAUUUCAGAUGUAAUUUGUUUGUUGUAUAUGAGAUCCUCUGCUUUGCUACCACUGCUCUUGCAGCUGUGAGGCUCAGGGCAGUGCAUAGAACGAAUGAAUGUUUGCUCUGAAGGAAAACAGUGCAUUUCUGGGGAUGGAGAGCCUGCAUUCUAUUACAAGGAAAGUAUUUUCAGGUCUUACUUAUUGCUUGUGCACUGGGACACGUGUAUUAACAACAUUCUUCUUCCCUUCCUAUUUUCCAUGAUUGUUCAUCUGCUGAGAUUACUGAAGAAAUGUAACUGACCAACAGGAACGAUUGUAUGAAGUCAGAAUUAUCUCUGGGCUGAAUCUGGCCUCAGAUCCUGCACCCAGUGAGCGUGAAGAGCACACAGGGAAAACCAAAGUUAGGAGCAAUAGGACAGUGCAUGCUUCCAGAAGAAGUCUCAGCUGUGGGGCUGGCAAGGAGUAACAAACUGCCAUGCAGAGGAAGAGAAGCUCCCUGUGAUCCAGAUGGAAGCUGGGCUGCUGUGCAGGACUGCUGCAGUGUUGGACAGGUCUGCUUUGUACCAAAAAAUGCUCAAGUGUACCAGUGGAUGGGAGCUUCCAGCUGUUUGUCAUUGGUGUCUUCUGUGGAACACGAAGACAACACUUGGGCAAAUGCUCAGCACCCUUGAGGUUGUCAGGUAAUCCUUCUCUGCUCCAGAGCAGCAGAGCAGCCAUCAGAUGGCAGCACUCUGCACAAAGAACUUCCGAAACCCCCAAUCCUGCUCUUUUCCCACGAAGAGCCCGGGCCUUCUAGCAGGAGGAGAGCACUGAAUUCUGUGUGCCUGUGAAUAGAAACCACGCUGCCAAAGUUCAGAACAACUCCUGGAAAGCUUCAUAAAUCGAGCUUGUUUCAGUCAGCCCAUUUUCUCCAUUUGUAGCAGCUGACUGGGUGCUGAGUUGAACAUGCUUAUCUAUUUUGGUUAUUCUAGAUCAAUGUUUUUCGGUCCCUAUGUUUCAGCGAAGCGCUGGAGUUCUGUAUCCCUAAGUAUACAAGGUCAGUUAUAAUAUAUGUACAUUUUCUCUGUGUAAUAUCCUGGUGGAAAAAAGUACUUUUAAACAGUGAUAGAAUCCCAGUCUGGUAGUUUUAAAUUUACACCUAGAUAAGUCAGAUCUGAAUACAUCAUAGUUACUAUUUCCUACCGGCUUUUUCCAAAGCAGGGCAUUGUCACUGAACUCAUCUUGCUCACCCUUAG
rnacentral:lncRNA from 1 species